rnacentral:rRNA from 1 species
GGGGAAUAUUGGACAAUGGGGGCAACCCUGAUCCAGCAAUGCCGCGUGUGUGAAGAAGGUCUUCGGAUUGUAAAGCACUUUCGACGGGGACGAUGAUGACGGUACCCGUAGAAGAAGCCCCGGCUAACUUCGUGCCAGCAGCCGCGGUAAUACGAAGGGGGCUAGCGUUGCUCGGAAUGACUGGGCGUAAAGGGCGUGUAGGCGGUUUACACAGUCAGAUGUGAAAUCCCCGGGCUUAACCUGGGAGCUGCAUUUGAAUACGUGUAGACUAGAGUGUGAGAGAGGGUUGUGGAA